AGAGUUUGAUCCUGGCUCAGGAUGAACGCUGGCGGCGUGCCUAACACAUGCAAGUCGAGCGAUUCUCUUCGGAGAAGAGCGGCGGACGGGUGAGUAACGCGUGGGUAACCUGCCCUGUACACACGGAUAACAUACCGAAAGGUAUGCUAAUACGGGAUAAUAUAUAAGAGUCGCAUGACUUUUAUAUCAAAGAUUUUUCGGUACAGGAUGGACCCGCGUCUGAUUAGCUUGUUGGCGGGGUAACGGCCCACCAAGGCGACGAUCAGUAGCCGACCUGAGAGGGUGAUCGGCCACAUUGGAACUGAGACACGGUCCAAACUCCUACGGGAGGCAGCAGUGGGGGAUAUUGCACAAUGGGCGCAAGCCUGAUGCAGCAACGCCGCGUGAGCGAUGAAGGCCUUCGGGUCGUAAAGCUCUGUCCUCAAGGAAGAUAAUGACGGUACUUGAGGAGGAAGCCCCGGCUAACUACGUGCCAGCAGCCGCGGUAAUACGUAGGGGGCUAGCGUUAUCCGGAUUUACUGGGCGUAAAGGGUGCGUAGGCGGUCUUUCAAGUCAGGAGUUAAAGGCUACGGCUCAACCGUAGUAAGCUCCUGAUACUGUCUGACUUGAGUGCAGGAGAGGAAAGCGGAAUUCCCAGUGUAGCGGUGAAAUGCGUAGAUAUUGGGAGGAACACCAGUAGCGAAGGCGGCUUUCUUGACUGUAACUGACGCUGAGGCACGAAAGCGUGGGGAGCAAACAGGAUUAGAUACCCUGGUAGUCCACGCUGUAAACGAUGAGUACUAGGUGUCGGAGGUUACCCCCUUCGGUGCCGCAGCUAAUGCAUUAAGUA
rnacentral:rRNA from 1 species